UACGUAGGGUGCAAGCGUUAUCCGGAAUUAUUGGGCGUAAAGAGCUCGUAGGCGGUGUGUCGCGUCGGCCGUGAAAACCUGCAGCUUAACUGUGGGCUUGCGGUCGAUACGGGCAUCACUGGAGUUCGGCAGGGGAGACUGGAAUUCCUGGUGUAGCGGUGAAAUGCGGAGAUAUCAGGAGGAACACCGGUGGCGAAGGCGGUUCUCUGGGCAUUACCUGACGCUGAGGAGCGAAAGUGUGGGGAGCGAACAGG
rnacentral:rRNA from 1 species